rnacentral:rRNA from 1 species
UUCGCCCUUAGAGUUUGAUCCUGGCUCAGGACGAACGCUGGCGGCGCGCCUAACACAUGCAAGUCGAACGGAGCUUAGAGAGCUUGCUUUUUAAGCUUAGUGGCGAACGGGUGAGUAACGCGUGAGUAACCUGCCCUAGAGUGGGGGACAACAGUUGGAAACGACUGCUAAUACCGCAUAAGCCCACGGUACCGCAUGGUACUGAGGGAAAAGGAUUUAUUCGCUUUAGGAUGGACUCGCGUCCAAUUAGCUAGUUGGUGAGGUAACGGCCCACCAAGGCGACGAUUGGUAGCCGGACUGAGAGGUUGAACGGCCACAUUGGGACUGAGACACGGCCCAGACUCCUACGGGAGGCAGCAGUGGGGGAUAUUGCACAAUGGGGGAAACCCUGAUGCAGCGACGCCGCGUGGAGGAAGAAGGUUUUCGGAUUGUAAACUCCUGUCGUUAGGGACGAUAAUGACGGUACCUAACAAGAAAGCACCGGCUAACUACGUGCCAGCAGCCGCGGUAAAACGUAGGGUGCAAGCGUUGUCCGGAAUUACUGGGUGUAAAGGGAGCGCAGGCGGGAAGACAAGUUGGAAGUGAAAACCAUGGGCUCAACCCAUGAAUUGCUUUCAAAACUGUUUUUCUUGAGUAGUGCAGAGGUAGAUGGAAUUCCCGGUGUAGCGGUGGAAUGCGUAGAUAUCGGGAGGAACACCAGUGGCGAAGGCGGUCUACUGGGCACCAACUGACGCUGAGGCUCGAAAGCGUGGGGAGCAAACAGGAUUAGAUACCCUGGUAGUCCACGCCGUAAACGAUGACUACUAGGUGUUGGAGGAUUGACCCCUUCAGUGCCGCAGUUAACACAAUAAGUAAUCCACCUGGGGAGUACGACCGCAAGGUUGAAACUCAAAGGAAUUGACGGGGGCCCGCACAAGCAGUGGAGUAUGUGGUUUAAUUCGACGCAACGCGAAGAACCUUACCAAGUCUUGACAUCCUGCGACGCACAUAGAAAUAUGUGUUUCCUUCGGGACGCAGAGACAGGUGGUGCAUGGUUGUCGUCAGCUCGUGUCGUGAGAUGUUGGGUUAAGUCCCGCAACGAGCGCAACCCCUAUCCUCAGUAGCCAGCGGUUCGGCCGGGCACUCUGGGGAGACUGCCAGGGAUAACCUGGAGGAAGGCGGGGAUGACGUCAAAUCAUCAUGCCCCUUAUGACUUGGGCUACACACGUGCUACAAUGGCGUAAACAAAGGGAGGCAAAGCUGUGAAGCCGAGCAAAUCUCAAAAAUAACGUCUCAGUUCGGACUGUAGUCUGCAACCCGACUACACGAAGCUGGAAUCGCUAGUAAUCGCAGAUCAGAAUGCUGCGGUGAAUACGUUCCCGGGUCUUGUACACACCGCCCGUCA